CAUGAGAUAUGUAUUAAGAACCUUUCAAAAAUAUGUCUUCUCAGUCCUGAAGACCUUCAAGAAUACAAGAGAUUCUCAGCCAAGCUCUUUAGCUUCCUGCCUAAUGAUCCUUCAAAUAUGAACAAACUUGUUCUUUAUUAAAAAUUGGCCUUACAUGAAAGGAGAAAUCCAGAUGUUGAAAGGAAGGAAGCAAUCUGGAAAGAAGUAAUUAUGUCUUAUCCUUAGGCAGGUGGAUCCUAGUAACUGGAGAAUCUUUUGCAAACUUAAAGAUUUUAUUAAAAGAGGGCUUGGAGAUACAUGUUUGGAGGAGGAAAAUAUGUGAGUGAGAAAUGACAUUUAUGGAGAGCUAGGAGUGUGCCAGGCACUACAAUGGGGAGAAGAAACACAGAUGAAGUAAAUACAUUUCUCCAGGAUCCUAUGGAUCUGUUGUUUGCAUUUAAAGUGCCAUCGUAUGUGGGCCAUCUGAUUGGAUACGUCUGCUGUUCUGGGAGAAUGAAGGUAAGUAAUGAGGUUGGUGAGGAUAGAGUAUUCAGCUGGACUACAAAUGACUGGAAGGCAUAUGACAAGUAGUGUGUGUAGGCAUUGUCCUGGCCAUGAAUGGAAGACAGUUUGGUGGGUUGUCCAACUCUACCUGCUGGAGUUUAUUCCUCACUACCCUCUAACAUAUUCCUUCUCCUCUGGUUAGAUCUAAAUUUUUAUUGACUCCAUGAAAAACUUUAUUAAUUUCUACUUCACUGCCUUUGCUUACAAUGCCCCUCUUUUUGUGUUUUCUUUUCCCCUUCCUUAUUCCUAUAAAAUCGGAUCCUUCAAGGAUCAAUUCAAGUUUCUCUGCCUCCAGGCUAAUCUAAGACUUCUGAACUAAUCUAAGUUUGUCAUCUUCAGAACACCUGCAAUAACCCCACCUACAUUAUACAAACAAUAUGCGAUAUAAUUAUGGAUAACAUUGUAUUGUCCACUGCUUUAUCCGCUCAUUUUGUCUCCCAACCAGACUAUAAACUCUUUCAGUUCAGGGAUUACAAUUUAGACUUUCUGUAAUCCUUCAAAGCACUUGGCCUGAUAACGUGCCAUUUACUCAAUGAAUACUUGCUGAUUGAGGAAAAUGGGUUUGUAGAUAACUUUAAAAAAUAUAUGUUUAUGAAGUAACAUGGUUCUCAGACAGUUUUCUGAUUGUUCUCCCCCAAAUUUUUGUCUUUGUCAUAAAAUCCUGGUUCUGUAAUUCUAUAUGUAUAUAGAUAUAUAUGUAUAAAUAUAGUUAUAGAUAUAAAU